rnacentral:rRNA from 1 species
UUUAUGGAGAGUUUGAUCCUGGCUCAGGAUGAACGCUGGCGGCGUGCCUAAUACAUGCAAGUCGAGCGAACAGAUAAGGAGCUUGCUCCUUUGACGUUAGCGGCGGACGGGUGAGUAACACGUGGGUAACCUACCUAUAAGACUGGAAUAACUCCGGGAAACCGGGGCUAAUGCCGGAUAACAUGUUGAACCGCAUGGUUCUACAGUGAAAGACGGUCUUGCUGUCACUUAUAGAUGGACCCGCGCCGUAUUAGCUAGUUGGUGGGGUAACGGCCUACCAAGGCGACGAUACGUAGCCGACCUGAGAGGGUGAUCGGCCACACUGGAACUGAGACACGGUCCAGACUCCUACGGGAGGCAGCAGUAGGGAAUCUUCCGCAAUGGGCGAAAGCCUGACGGAGCAACGCCGCGUGAGUGAUGAAGGUCUUCGGAUCGUAAAGCUCUGUUGUUAGGGAAGAACAAAUGUGUAAGUAACUGUGCACAUCUUGACGGUACCUAACCAGAAAGCCACGGCUAACUACGUGCCAGCAGCCGCGGUAAUACGUAGGUGGCAAGCGUUAUCCGGAAUUAUUGGGCGUAAAGCGCGCGUAGGCGGUUUUUUAAGUCUGAUGUGAAAGCCCACGGCUCAACCGUGGAGGGUCAUUGGAAACUGGAAAACUUGAGUGCAGAAGAGGAAAGUGGAAUUCCAUGUGUAGCGGUGAAAUGCGCAGAGAUAUGGAGGAACACCA